rnacentral:lncRNA from 1 species
UCGUCCUGUGAAUUCAGAUGCAGUCAAGAAAUACUUCGCCUAAAAAAAAUAAAAAUAAAAAAAAGCAGCUAAGUUGAAUCCUCGAAAGGGCGACUUAGGCAAAAAAGGAGCGUCUCGGUGGAUUGAAAACCCGAAAGGGCGAUCCAGGCAAAAGUUAGAGACAUUGAAAAAAAGAAUUUGCAUCCCGCUAGAUUGAGUACCUCACACUGGGGCAAUCUAGGCAAAAAUUAGGGAUUUG